AUGUUCUUGAAGAAGGAAGUCACUGGCCACUGUAAUCACAGACCUUCAAAACCACCUGAAAGGACUUCAGAGAAGAGAUCCGGAGUAAGGCACUCUGUGCUCUGGGAAAAACUGGCAGAACGGGUCUUCAGACAGUUAGAUAUUUUCCGAAUAUUUUAUGAGCCCAAUUUCUUGCCUCUUCUCAUGUAUAGAAAAGCACUAAAAUCAUUAAUGAUGAUAUCGGCUCUUUGUGACUAGCAGCAAGCCUCUGCCAAAAUGUGUGGUUG
rnacentral:lncRNA from 1 species